GACAGAGGGUGCAAACGUUGUUCGGAAUUACUGGGCGUAAAGCGCGUGUAGGCGGCUAAGUAAGUCGGGCGUGAAAUCCCACGGCUCAACCGUGGAAGUGCGCUCGAAACUGCAUAGCUAGAGUCCUGGAGAGGAAGGUGGAAUGCUUGGUGUAGAGGUGAAAUUCGUAGAUAUCAAGCGGAACACCGGUGGCGAAGGCGGCCUUCUGGACAGUGACUGACGCUGAGACGCGAAAGCGUGGGGAGCAAACAGG
rnacentral:rRNA from 1 species